rnacentral:rRNA from 1 species
AUUGAACGCUGGCGGCAUGCCUAACACAUGCAAGUCGAGCGAGCGGCGGACGGGUGCGUACUGUCUGGGAAACUGCCUGAUGGCGGCGGAUAACUACUGGAAACGUUUGCUAAUCCCGCGUACCAUGCGAUUUGCCUAGAUGGGAUUAGCUAGUGGGUGGGGUCACGGCUCACCUUGGCGACUAUCCCUAGCUGGUCUGAGAGGUUGACAAGCCAAACUGGAACUGAGACACGGGCCAGACUCCUACGGGAGGCAGCAGUGGGGAAUAUUGCGCAAUGGGCGAAAGUCUGAUGCAGCCAUGCCGCGUGAGUGAAGAAGGUCUUCGGGUUGUAAAACACUGUUGGCGGGGAGGCGUUACCCGAAGAAGAAGCAACGGCUAACUCCGUGCCAGCCGCCGCGGUAAUAC